AUACCUUUCUUGGCCUUUUGGCUAAGAUCAAGUGUAGCAUCUGUUCUUAUCAGUUUAAUAUCUGAUAAAUGUGAAUCUACGGGUUCACGGGGUGAACCUUUAUAGGUCUUUCCUAUAUGUUUGCCCUUCCGAUAUUAAUUUUUUUAUAGGGAGAGGACCUUAAACAGUAGCUUGCUACUUGAGUUCCUUUUGUGUCACCCUUGCUUUGCACUUCCGUGAGGGCUUGGCACACCCACC
rnacentral:snRNA from 1 species